GAUAUCAACUGAAAAAGUCAUCAACAACAAAGUUGAAUAACUCAUCAAGAUCUAAAACUUUUAUUUUGGUCAUUUCUUCAUACGACAAAGUGAAAGUAACAUUGUUCACAAAAUUGACAUAUCUCUUAUCUGGUUUUAUAAACUAUAACACAUAUAUGUAAAAUUUGUGAAUAAUAUUACUAACAUUUCGUCAGAUGAAGAAAUAACAAAAAUAAAAGUUUUAGAUCUUGAUGAGUUAUUCAACUUUGUUGUUGAUGACUUUUUCAAUUGAAAUC
rfam:Oryza sativa (indica cultivar-group) chromosome 4, whole genome shotgun sequence.